rnacentral:rRNA from 1 species
GUGUCAGCCGCCGCGGUAACACCGGCGGCUCGAGUGGUAACCGCUAUUAUUUGGUCUAAAGGGUCUGUAGCCGGCCGAAUAAGUCUUUUGGGAAAUCUGGCUGCUCAACAGUCAGGCGAUCAGGAGAUACUGUUCGGCUCGAGGCCGGGAGAGGUGAGAGGUACUUCAGGGGUAGGGGUGAAAUCUUGUAAUCCUUGAAGGACCACCAGUGGCGAAGGCGUCUCACCAGAACGGGCCUGACGGAAAGGGACGAAAGCUAGGGGCACGAACCGGAUUAGAUACCCGGGUAGUCCUAGCCGUAAACGAUACUCGCUAGGUGUCGGCCACGGUGCGACCGUGGUCGGUGCCGUAGGGAAGCCGUGAAGCGAGCCACCUGGGAAGUACGGCCGCAAGGCUGAAACUCAAAUGAAUUGACGGGG